UACGAAGGGGGCUAGCGUUGCUCGGAAUCACUGGGCGUAAAGCGCACGUAGGCGGAUUGUUAAGUCAGGGGUGAAAUCCUGGAGCUCAACUCCAGAACUGCCUUUGAUACUGGCGAUCUUGAGUCCGGGAGAGGUGAGUGGAACUGCGAGUGUAGAGGUGAAAUUCGUAGAUAUUCGCAAGAACACCAAGUGGCGAAGGCGGCUCACUGGCCCGGUACUGACGCUGGAGGUGCGAAAGCGUGGG
rnacentral:rRNA from 1 species